rnacentral:lncRNA from 1 species
CAGCCACCUUAUCAGUGUCCGAAGCCAACACUCCAGCUAUUAACCCUCCUAAAUCUAUUGUACUCAAUGAGAACCCAGUAGCUACCUGUUCUUUACACUUCCAGUUGCUAACUCCUCUGCUCUUUACACGUUUCUUGCUGUAGAAGCCCUUUCAUGACAUCCAGUGACAAACUGACUUUCCUCAUUUCUCCAGCUUCCAAGUCCUGAUAGGCUUCUCCUUAGAAUAAGACCACCCCAGCAACCUGAUAUUGCAGAGUACCUUCAACUGCCCUUGCGAUCAGGUCCUUGAUGCUGAAUACCUCUGCCAAACAGAAGCCCCUACUACUCUUCUUGACUUCGGAUGAGAAAUAAUCAUUAAACUCAUUUAUGAGAUUGAAAUAAUACAAAAACCGGAUUUUAAUGAUACCUCAAGGAGAUUGGACCUCAUGCAGACCUGGCUACCUGACCCAUGGAAAAAGCCAGAAUUCCAUUCCCAUCGGCUCUUCCCAGUCUUGGGUGAGCUUGGAGAUGGUGAGAUGUGUUCAAAAUAUAUCCCCUUUGAGAUGACAUUUGGAGCUCUGGUGUGAGGAGAAUUGCUAGUAGUGGCUGCAGACUGCUAUUAAAAUGAAAAGGAGAAACAGCAGAGGCAAGUAAUAACUAGGGAUUUUCUCUGUUAAAAGAUCCAAAAUUCUCUAAUUAAAAAAACCCCAAAUCCACAUUUUCCAUGAUUAAAAUGAAAAGCCGCUAUCUCUCUCUCUCUCUCUCUCUCUCUCUCUCUCUCUCUGUGUAUAUAUAUGUAUAUGUGUGUGUGUGUGUAUGUGUGUGUGUGUGUAUAUAUAUAUAUAUAGAUAGAUAGAUAGAUAUAGAUAUGUCUGUAUAUAGAUAUGUAUGGGUGUGUGUAUGUAUGUAUGCGUGUGUGUAUAUAUACACAUCAGCUGAACACAAUGUUUUAUAGAUAUAUUUACAACUUAAAAGCAGUUUGGAAGCCUACCAGUGCCUCAAUCAUUAUAAUAAAAUAAAUUAUAAAUAUCUAUAUAUUUUGGCA